AUGGAGCAGCACCAGGUGGACCUGAUCGGCACGAACGUGGUAGCGCGGUGUGCUUCACCUAAGCCUAGAGACUGCGUCGCCCCCAGGGGUGGCGCUGGGGAGGCAGAAUGUCUCCUUGUUUUUGUCCCUGGAGCUAGAAUCCAUGAGCUUCUCCAAUGUGCUUCAAGUUAUUCCUCUACACCCUGCCAUGGCGAUGGCAGCCACCUUUUCUUCCUCCUUCAGAUCACGAGGAAAAUGCACCAUUGGAAGGGUGUUUUUACUGUACCUCCCACAGCAUCGUCGUCUGGCUCUUGCUGUGCGAGCGACGGCACCUCGGUGCCUCUUUCGUCGGCGGCGAGAAGAGCUGAAAGAGAGAGGAGGAGACGGGCAAGCGUCGGCCUCCGUGAGGGCGUCCUGAAGGUGAAGGGGCGAGCCAACCUCACCGUCGACGCCAAGGACAAGCUCCUCCUCCAGCUGGAGAGGCGAGACGCCGAGAGGGCAAAGACCUCCUCGGCCGCACCACCCACAAGACAUGUCAUCGCUGCUCCGGCAGUCCGGCCAAGGUGAAGAGAAAUGG
rnacentral:lncRNA from 1 species